rnacentral:rRNA from 1 species
UACGGGGGGGGGGCAAGCGUUGUUCGGAAUUACUGGGCGUAAAGCGCGCGUAGGCGGUUUUUGCAAGCCAGAGGUGAAAUGCCUGAGCUCAACUUAGGAAUUGCCUUUGGGACUGCGAGGCUUUGAGGACUGGAGAGGUGAGUGGAAUUCCCAGUGUAGAGGUGAAAUUCGUAGAUAUUGGGAAGAACACCGGUGGCGAAGGCGGCUCACUGGCCAGUUUCUGACGCUGCAGCGCGAAAGCGUGGGGAUCAAACAGGG